UUAACUGCUAUGGUCAUAUUACCCCAAUUAGGGCGCCCCCAAAUCUCUCACUACACUUUAGAUCUGUCUGUAUAUACCUAUUUCUCUUAGAAAACUUAGGGUACUUUUUGCAUUUAUCGUUGCACAGAAGUUUUCGACAUAUUCUCGAUUUAAACUAUGCAGCGCCCUUUCGUUGUUAUACAUGGGGCAUUCCUGAAUUAUGUGCCGAAUGGUUACAGCAGUCCCACAUCGUUCGCACUGUCGGGCAAUCUCACCCUUAAGAAUGUGUUGGUGCGUUAUCUGCGCAUGCCCUAUUCGCAGUCGGUGCAUUUUUACAUUUUCUUCCCUAGUGGCCUGGUCUAACACAUAGAGUUUCCGUACAUCUGGUUUUAUUCGGGUCAGGUAUUCUCCUAAGUCCAACGGAUGUAUAAGGUUAACAUCAAUGUGAUUACUUAACGCAGCCUGGCAUGCAGCAUGGUCUGCUUGAUCGUUUCCAGAACUUGAGAAUGGACUGGCAUCUUUUCGUCAUCGCACCAACAGGAUAUAUUUCAGAGAUCCCAUUCACUGCUUCCAUACAAUCUGUGACGAUGAUAACAUUUUGUCUAUCGCCGAUGGAGCAAUAUAACAACGCCUGCCACAGCGCAUAUUGUUCGGCAAAGCGAAUUGAGGACCACGAACAUAAACUCCAUUCAUAGGACUCUUCUCCAAUCACCAUCGCACUUCCAACACCACUCUCCGUUCUAGACCCGUCAGUAUAGAUGAUUUCAUACGAAGGAUAUUCAUUACAUAUAUCUUGGAAUUUCUGUAUAUAAGUGUUACUGUUUGUAGUUGACUUUUUGUAUUUCGCAAGUUCCGUUCUUAUUUCGACUGCAGGAGUCAUCCACGGUGCAAACUCUUGUGUAGUGUUUUCCAGAAUUUCCGGAAGAGCGAUACCUUGCAAUUGAAUAUCCUCAUAAAACCUCACACUUGCUGGUCUAGUAAUAGUAGGUCGCAUUCUAUAAGCAUUUUUAUCCACACUGAAAAUUAUGCUAUUAGGGUAACGGGGUAAUGACAGUAGUUUAGCCAUGUAACAGUAAGUUAACUGUUUUCUUCUCGUAUCAAGUGGUGAAAUUCCAGAUUCGCAAUGUAAGCUGGCUACCGGACUCGUAGGAAAUGCUCCUAUACAAUACCUUAUAGCAGCAUGCUGCACAGGAUCUAAUAUUGUCAGUAACGUUUUACGUGCCGACGAAUAGGCAAUGCUACCAUAAUCCAUUUGGGAUCUUAUGAGCGCUUGAUAAAUUCGAAUAAGGCAGUUAGCAUCUGCACCCCACUUGGUAUGCGCUAAUACUUUAAGUAUGUUGAGACUGUUGACGCAUUUAGUCUUCAAGUGCUCUAAAUGAGUUCUCCAAGUAAGGGAUCUAUCAAACGUGAGACCAAGGAACUUAGCAGCUUCCGAGCAUCUGAUGUUAUGGUUCGUCAGAUAUAGCAUAGGAUCAUAGUGUGGCCUUCUUAACCUGCAAAAAUGGACGCAUUGUGUUUUUUCGUGUGAAAAACUUAAACCUAUAUUUUCGGCAUUCCCAACAAUUUGAUUGAUUACAGGUUGUAGUUUGCGAGUUAUUUCUCCUACCGUUUUCCCUGAUGUGAAGAUGGCUAUGUCGUCAACGUACAUGCAUUUAGAAAUGUUUUCUGGUGUAUUAGAGCAUAUGUCAUUUAUUGCUAUAGCAAAUAGAGUACAGCUAAGAGUCGAUCCCUGAGGAACUCCAUUCUCCAAAAGCUUAUCAUCGGAGAACUUAUCACCAACUCUUACACGGAAACGCCUGUUUGUUAGGAAGGACUUCACUAACAAUGGUAAGUUACCUCUCAAGUUAUAUUGGUACAUUUUUUCUAUUAUGCCAUACCUCCAUGUCAUAUCAUACGCGCCCUUCACAUCAAAGAAAACAGCCACCAGAUGUUCUCUUUUGCGGAAUGCCUCUUGUAUGCAGUGCUCUAAAAUAAUCAGAUGGUCGGUGGUAGAUCGGUGUUUCCUGAAACCAGCCUGAUAUGGCACUAGGAAGUUGUUUUUCUCCAAAUACCACUGUAAUCGAUUAUUUAGCAUCCUCUCCAUGAUUUUACCCAUGCAACACGUCAGACUGAUUGGUCGAUAACUAGUUGCAGACAAUGGAUUUUUUUUGGGUUUUAAGAUUGGUAUCACCACUGCUUCUUUCCAUUCAUCUGGGCGUCAGAUUCUUCAGCAUCUCGUUUGCUAUCUGGUCAGGUCCAGGUGCUGUGUUCCUGGCCUUUUGUAAAGCAAACUCCAUCUCCAGCAUUGUAAAAGAAAAGGUGGGGGGAUAGUUUCCGGAGCUACUAACUACUGCAAACUGAUUGGCCAAAGCGUUCGCGAUUUCUUCUGGUUUUUCCAAGACUAGGUCUUGUGUUUGUAAUGAAUGUAUCGCCCACAUCAGCAUUUGCAUUGAUAGUUGACGUAUAUUUAAUCCAACUUUGACGCUUACUCUCAAAUACGACUCGUCUGCUUAUUGCUCUCGCUCGUUUGAAGUUGAUAUGGUUUUCAACGGUAGGUUGCCUUUGGUAGAGUCUAAAUGCAACACUCUUGUUUCUGAUGGCUACUUUUACAUCCUGAUUCCACCAUGGAAUGGGUCUCUUCACAGGCUUGUUUCCAGUCUUUGGUAUGCUCUUCAUCGCUGCAACCAAUAUAGUCUUCGUUAUCGUUUUAACAUUCACGUCGGUUGGUGCUACAAGAUGUUCUUGAAACAGUGUCCAGUCAGCUCUACCAGUAAUGAAUCUACUAGCAACUGCUUUAUCUUGCACGAUGGUAUCAGUUUCGACGAUAAUUGGAAAAUGAUCACUGUUAUGUAGAUCAUUUAUAGUUUUCCAUGUCAACCGCGGAAUUAGAUUUGGCGAAGCCAACGUUAAAUCAAUAGCAUCGAAGCUUCUAGAUCGGGCAUUGUGGUAAGUAAAUGCCCCAUUGUUAAGGAGAACUAUGUUAUUCUUGGUCAGCCAAUCUUCUAGGAUAUGUCCUUUAUUGUCGGUUCUCACUGAUCCCCAUAAUGUACUGUGCGCAUUGAAGUCACCCAUAACAAUAUACGGUGUUGGCAGCUGACUGAUGAUAUUGUCAAUAUCCACUAUUACCCAGUUCGUAUUAGGUAAGUAAACAUUGCACAAAGUAAUUUUAAAUGGGACACUUACUUUGACAGCGACCACCUGGAGGUGUGUAUUUAGAGCGACUCUUUCAAAUUUCACUCCGUUUUUAACUAUGAUUGCUACUCCCCCUGAUGCCCUCUCUGCGCCGAUAAAAUCUUUUCGCUCAACAUCAUAUCCUCUCAGGGAAUAUGGUUGACCAAGUUUGAGAUGGGUUUCUUGUAUACAGAGACAUAUGGGGUUCCGUUCAUGCAAUAACA